ACAGUUUGAGAACCAUUGAACGAGGGCUGGGACGACUCCAUGGUUCCACUUGUCCCUACUCCCACAGAGCUUCAGUGACAGGCAAGUACCACAGCACCCUCUGUUUAUGUGGAUUCGGGGUUUACAAGCAAGUCCUCAUGCUUAGGCAGCAAGCGUGAGGUUUAUCCACUGGGCCAUCUCAACUCCUCCUCUCUGUUCUGAGUCACGGUCUCUUACAAGUUUGACUAGAGAGCUAACCAACGGGUCCUAGGGAUUCUGCUGUUUCUCUCUCUUCAGAGUCGGGAUCACAGUCCCCUGAGCUCUGGUCUGUCGCUUUUUACCUACAGUGCUGGGUAUCUGCACAUGGGUCCCCGGGCUUCCGCACAUUUUAUUGAUUAUGACAUUGCCCCAAUCUCCUAUGUAAUUUAGACAAGAGGUUUUGCUUUGAUUCUUUUGCUAGCCUGGUACUGGAUAUAUAACCCAGGAUGGUCCCGAGUCAGGACCAUACUCCCGGUACAGUCUCCCAAGCCUGAGACUAUGGGCAUGUCAUCAUGUCCAUCAUGACCAGCUACAAUGGCACCUAGAUUUUGUUCACUUCUGUAUCCUGCAGUACCUAGACGGGUCUAGCCUGAGAGCUAAGAGGCGUCAUGGCAAUGAGGCACGAUUGUCAGCAAGCAGCAAACAAGGCAGCUGGAGCAUCCGACGCAGCGCACGGAAAGCUCUUACCUUCAACAGCAAACACAAAAUGGAGCAAACUAGAAACAAUGGCUCAAGCCUUCAAAUUCUCAAAGGGAAGUAUAGCUCUUGUCUCUCA